rnacentral:rRNA from 1 species
AUGAAACACUCCUACGGGAGGCAGCAGUGGGGAAUAUUGCACAAUGGGGGAAACCCUGAUGCAGCGACGCCGCGUGAGCGAUGAAGGCUUUCGAGUCGUAAAGCUCUGUCCUGUGGGAAGAUAAUGACGGUACCAUAGAAGAAAGCCCCGGCUAAUUACGUGCCAGCAGCCGCGGUAAUACGUAAGGGGCGAGCGUUGUCCGGAAUUAUUGGGCGUAAAGAGUGCGUAGGCGGCAAAUUAAGUCAGAUGUGAAAACUAAGGGCUCAACCCAUAGAUUGCAUCUGAAACUGAUAUGCUUGAGUCAAGGAGAGGAAAGUGGAAUUCCUGGUGUAGCGGUGGAAUGCGUAGAUAUUAGGAGGAAUACCGGUGGCGAAGGCGACUUUCUGGACUUGAACUGACGCUGAGGCACGAAAGCGUGGGGAGCAAACAGGAUUAGAUACCCGAGUAGUCCGAAGUUC